CGCGGCCUAUCAGCUUGUUGGUGGGGUAAUGGCUCACCAAGGCGUCAACGGGUAGCCGGCCUGAGAGGGUGACCGGCCACACUGGGACUGAGACACGGCCCAGACUCCUACGGGAGGCAGCAGUGGGGAAUAUUGCACAAUGGGCGCAAGCCUGAUGCAGCAACGCCGCGUGAGGGAUGACGGCCUUCGGGUUGUAAACCUCUUUUAGCAGGGAAGAAGCGAGAGUGACGGUACCUGCAGAAAAAGCACCGGCUAACUACGUGCCAGCAGCCGCGGUAAUACGUAGGGUGCAAGCGUUAUCCGGAAUUAUUGGGCGUAAAGAGCUCGUAGGCGGUUUGUCGCGUCUGCUGUGAAAUCUGGGGGCUCAACCCCCAGCCUGCAGUGGGUACGGGCAGACUAGAGUGCGGUAGGGGAGAUUGGAAUUCCUGGUGUAGCGGUGGAAUGCGCAGAUAUCAGGAGGAACACCGAUGGCGAAGGCAGAUCUCUGGGCCGUAACUGACGCUGAGGAGCGAAAGGGUGGGGAGCAAACAGGCUUAGAUACCCUGGUAGUCCACCCCGUAAACGUUGGGAACUAGUUGUGGGGUCCAUUCCACGGAUUCCGUGACGCAGCUAACGCAUUAAGUUCCCCGCCUGGGGAGUACGG
rnacentral:rRNA from 1 species